rnacentral:lncRNA from 1 species
CUUUACCAUUAUGUAAUGUCCUUCUUUGUCUCUUUUGAUCUUUGUUGGUUUCAAGUCUGUUUUAUCAGAGACUAGAAUUGCAAACCCUCCUUUGUUUUGUUUUCCAUUUGCUUGGUAGAUCUUCCUCCAUCCCUUUAUUUUGAACCUAUCUGUGUCUCUGCACAUGAGAUGGGUCUCCCAAAUACAGCACACUGAUGGGUCUUGACUCUUUCUCCAAUUUGCCAGCCUGUGUCUUUUAAUUGCAGCAUUUAGCCCAUUUACAUUUAAGGUUAAUAUUGUUAUGUGUGAAUUUGAUCCUGUCAUUAUGAUGUUAGCUGGUUAUUUUGCUCGUUAGUUGAUGCAGUUUCUUCCUAGCCUCAAUGGUCUUUACAAUUUGGCAUGUUUUUGCAGUGGCUGGUACCGGUUGUUCCUUUCCAUGUUUAGUGCUUCCUUCAGGAGCUCUUGUAAGGGAGGCCUGGUGGUGACAAAAUCUCUCAGCGUUUGCUUGUCUGUAAAGGAUUUUAUUUCUCCUUCACUUAUGAAGCUUUGUUUGGCUGGAUGUGAAAUUCUGAGUUGAAAAUUCUUUUCUUUAAGAAUGUUGAAUAUUGGCCCCCACUCUCUUCUGGCUUGUAGAGUUUCUGCUGAGAGAUCCACUAUUAGUCUGAUGGGCUUCCCAUUGUGGGUAACCCAACCUUUCUUUCUGGCUGCCCUUAACAUUUUUUCCUUCAUUUCAACCUUGGUGAAUCUGACAGUUAUGUGUCUUGGAGUUGCUCUUCUUGAGGAGUAUCUUUGUGGCGUUCUCUGUAUUUCCUGAAUUUGAAUAUUGGCUGCCUUGCUAGGUUGGGGAAGUUCUCCUGGAUAAUAUCCUGCGGAGUGUUUUUCCACUUGGUUCCAUUCUCCCCAUCACUUUCAGGUACACCAAUCAGAUGUAGAUUUGGCCUUUUCACAUAGUCCCAUAUUUCUUGGAGGCUUUGUUCAUUUCUUUUUACUCUUUUUUCUCUAAACUUCUCUUCUUGCUUCAUUUCAUUCAUUUGAUCUUCAGUCACCAAUAUGCUUUCUUCCACUUGAUCGAAUCAGCUACUGAAGCUUGUGCAUGCAUCACGUAGUUCUCGUGUCAUGGUUUUCAGCUCCAUCAGGUCAUUUAAGGUCUUCUCUAUGCUGUUUAUUCUAGUUAGCCAUUCAUCUAAUCUUUUUUCAAGGUUUUUAGCUUGUUUGCGAUGGGUUCGAACAUCCUCCUUUAGCUUGGAGAAAUUUGUUAUUACCGAUGGUCUGAAGCCUUCUUCUCUCAACUCGUCAAAGUCAUUCUCCAUCCAGCUUUGUUCUGUUGCUGGAGAGGAGCUGUUUUCCUUUGGAGGAGAAGAGGCUCUCUGAUUUUUAGAAUUUUCCGCUUUUGUGCUCUAGUUUCUCCCCAUUUUUCUGGUUUUAUCUACCUUUGGUCUUUGAUGAUGGUGACGUAUAGAUGGGGUUUUGAUGUGGAUGUCCUUUUUGUUUGUUAGUUUUCCUUCUAACAGUCAGGACCCUCAGCUGCAGGUCUGUUGGAGUUUGCUGGAGGUCCACUCCAGACCCUGUUUGCCUGGGUAUCACCAGCGGAGACUGCAGAACAGCAAAUAUUGCAGAAUGGCAAAUUUUGCUGCCUGAUCCUUCCUCUGGAAGCUUGGUCUCAGAGGGGCAUGUAGCCAUAUGAGGUGUCAGUCGGCCCCUACUGGGAGGUGCCUCCCAUUUAGGCCCACUUGAGGAGGCAGUCUGUCUGUUCUCAGAUCUCAAACUUUGUGCUGGGAGAACCACUACUCUCUUCAAAGCUGUCAGACAGGGACGUUUAAGUCUGCAGAAGUUUCUGCUGCCUUUUGUUCAGCUAUGCCCUGCCCCCAGAGUUGGAGUCUACAGAGGCAGGCAGGCCUCCUUGAGCUGUGGUGGGCUCCACCCAGCCACUUUGUUUACCUACUCAAGCCUCAGCAAUGGCAGACACCCCUCCCCCAGCCUCACUGCCGUCUUGCAGUUUGAUCUCAGACAGCUGUGCUAGCAGUGAGCGAGGCUCCGUGGGUGUGUGGGACCCUCCAAGCCAGUCAUGGGAUAUAAUCUCCUGGUGUGCCAUUCGCUAAGACUGGUGGAAAAACACAGUAUUAGGGUGGGAGUGUCCCAAUUUUCCAGGUACCAUCUGUCACGGCUUCCCUUGGCUAGGAAAGUAAAUUCCCCCACCCCUUGUGCUUCCUGGGUAAGGCAAUGCCCCACCCUGCUUUGGCUCAUGCUCCGUGGGCUACACCCACUGUCCAACAAGCCCCAGUGAGAUGAACCCAGUACCUCAGUAGGAAAUGCAGAAAUCACCUGUCUUCUGCGUCGCUCACACUGGGAGCUGUAGACUGGAGCUGUUCCUAUUCGGCCAUCUUGGUACAACCGAGACAGACUCUUAAACUAAUAAUUAGAACACCCACUAGAACAAUUACUGAGAUGUCAGAAAGGAAAAAAAAAUGUAUAACAGAGGGCAUCUCCCUACUGGAGGUGAGUACUCACUGGGAGUGAGAUCAUGCAGUGAAGUGGCUGAGAACACAGGACAU